AAAUAACAUAUAUAUGUUAAUAUGUAUAUAUGUAUGUGUGUGUGCGUGUGUGUGUAUAUAUAUAUAUACACACACACACACAUACAU
rnacentral:miRNA from 1 species